GGAGAAGAGCGAAGAACAAAAGAAGUCCUGUCAGAGUUUGUGUGUAACUCUGUUUGCUUUUGCUUUUUGCAAUUAUGACAUCAAAGGGGGUGGCUCAGCUGGAGCUGUGUAACUGCUCACACAAAAUGCCCGUGGUUCCACAGGCAGCUCACACUGUGACAUUUUAUCUCGUUUUGUAACUGCACAUUUUACAAAGACCAGGAUACUCCUUCUUUGUCUCAAAAUGCAGCCCGGUGCACACGGUGCAGCUCCAUUGGCAAGGCACACAAACGUGUAGGCGCAGAGAGCUGGUUGCUAAGGGCUUGCAAACCUGCAGGCAUGCGUGCAUGAUUCCCCCACACCAUGGGCUCAGUCACACAGAUGACACGGAAACAGAAGCUCAGGGGAGGUAAAACAUCACAGUCUCAAGGCACUACUGGGACAGACCCGGGCCAUGGCAUUCACUCAAAGCAAGAUGCCCACUCCCAGAGCUCAGCGGCUGCUUGCACAGUCAUCGUCAGGAAGGAGCAUUUUGGUUUGCAAACUUUACCAAAAGCACCUUUAGGCACUGGGCACCGUGGCAGUUCCACAGCACUGAUGGAGGAGCUGAGGAAGGGACAACAAAGAAAUCACACUUUUCCAAAUCUGGACACCGGGAGCUGAGAAUACACACGAGGACACUGUAGAUACUGAAGCCAGCAAAUGGAGCAACCUCCUGCUAAACAUUAAGGACCUGCAUAACCAAGCUGGCUUCACCAAAACAGCCAACAUGCCGACAAAUGAUGUGUGUUUGCUGCCCUGAACAUGGACAAUGUUUUUUCCUGCAACAAAUGUGCAGAAGAAGGUGUUCUGGAGUGCAAGGGGACAUUAAAUCAGCUCUGUUAACCUGAUUAAGCCCUCUCAGUCACCACAUGCACAGGAUCCCACAGCCAUUGGUGAACUAGGAAGGUAACACACGCGGAGUUGCAGGGCAGACCCUGCCUCACCGCAGCAGCAGUGCAUUACACCCAGCAGUGUUCUGCCCCAUCAGCCCUAAUGUGGGCACAGCUGGCCCAUAUUCCUGUAGCCUCCUGGUUUUAAAGCUGAUAGCUAACUGGAGUAUGUGCCUCCGCAGCCCAUGCCAGAAGUUAAUCUUUGGGCUACACAGUGCGACAAGCAGUGAGACUCAUAAGGAACUCUGAAAGGAGAGGGAUGCUGCAUUAGACUGGCUGGGAUGGCCAGCACAUAAUUUAGACACAAUGAGCUCUAAAACCCAUGCCAAUAAAUCAGCAUCUGUCAGACA
rnacentral:lncRNA from 1 species